CCAUCGAUGAAACAUCGAUGUUUCCGAUGUUUCUUUAAUAUCAUAGACUACGGUAAAAAAAGUGUAUUCCACUAGUCUGUACUUCAAAUGUGGAUUGAAAGAAGGAGAAAGCCUGUGAAACAAAGCUGACUGCUUCCGCCAAAAAGGAGCCCAAGCCAAUGGUUUCAUCUGUCGAGAAAAAGUUAAAAGUAAGAAGAUCGUCGGCAGCAACUAAGAAGACAGCAAGCCAUAAAAAAAGCAGCCUCUGCCGGUGACAAGAAACUAAAGGUAAAGAAGUCAGUCGCCACCAAGAAGACCGCCGAGAAGAAAACUGAGAAGGCAAAGGCUAAGGAUGCGAAGAAAACUGGAACCGUGAAGGCGAAGCCAGCAGCGACAAAGGCCAAGUCGAGCCCAG